rnacentral:rRNA from 1 species
CCUACGGGAGGCAGCAGUGAGGAAUAUUGGUCAAUGGACGAGAGUCUGAACCAGCCAAGUAGCGUGAAGGAUGACUUCCCUAUGGGUUGUAAACUUCUUUUAUAAAGGAAUAAAACGAGGCACGUGUGCCUUUUUGCAUGUACUUUAUGAAUAAGGAUCGGCUAACUCCGUGCCAGCAGCCGCGGUAAUACGGAGGAUCCGAGCGUUAUCCGGAUUUAUUGGGUUGAAAGGGAGCGUAGAUGGGUUGUUAAGUCAGUUGUGAAAGUUUGCGGCUCAACCGUAAAAUUGCAAUUGAUACUGGCAGUCUUGAGUACAGUUGAGGUAGGCGGAAUUCGUGGUGUAGCGGUGAAAUGCUUAGAUAUCACGAAGAACCCCAAUUGCGAAGGCAGCUUACUAAACUGUGACUGACAUUGAUGCUCGAAAGUGUGGGUAGCAAACAGGAUUAGAUACCCGAGUAGUC